rnacentral:rRNA from 1 species
GGGAACAACAGCUGGAAACGGCUGCUAAUACCCCAUAGGCUGAGGAGCAAAAGGAGGAAUCCGCCCAAGGAGGGGCUCGCGUCUGAUUAGUUAGUUGGUGAGGCAAUGGCUUACCAAGGCGACGAUCAGUAGCUGGUCCGAGAGGAUGAUCAGCCACACUGGGACUGAGACACGGCCCAGACUCCUACGGGAGGCAGCAGUGGGGAAUUUUCCGCAAUGGGCGAAAGCCUGACGGAGCAAUGCCGCGUGAAGGCAGAGGGCCCACGGGUCAUGAACUUCUUUUCUCGG